rnacentral:lncRNA from 1 species
CUUUGUACUAAAUACAAGAUUGUUGUAACAAGUAUUACACACAUAUAUUUCCAUGGACGCUAUAAGAAAUUAACAUUCAAAUCAAAAGAGCAUUACAGCAAAAUAUGUAUAAGCAGUAGAGACCAAAAAUCUGAAACAUGGGUUCUUUUCAUAAAUCUCUUUCACUUAGUUUGCUUGCUAAAAAUUACAAAAAAAGAAAGAAACCGGUAAAUCAAAUUCCAAAAUGCUUUAAAAGAAUGAAAAAUAAAGGAAAAAAGAAAAAGACUUUCACCAUCCCCUAAUAAAACCCAUUUGAUCUACAACUUCCUGCCAAUCAUCACCCCAAUCUGCAUGGUUUGAUGCUAAACCACAACUACCAUAGGAACUGCCUCUUGUUGCAAAUUCUCCACAGUAGGGCAAAUUACUGUAUAAAUGUCGAAUUUCAAAGAGCCUUACUUCGAUCCCAAACGUUUUGAUUGAUGUAUAAACACUUCAAUUGCUUAGAUUUUUAAGGUGUUUCUGGCAAUUUUUGACAGAUGGUUUGGUAGGGGUGAAGUUGGGUAGAAAGUCAGCAGAGUUUCUUUUUUCUUUUUUCUUUUUCUAUUUUGG